GUGGGGAAUAUUGGACAAUGGGCGCAAGCCUGAUCCAGCAAUGCCGCGUGUGUGAAGAAGGCCUGCGGGUUGUAAAGCACUUUAAGCCGGAAAGAAGGCCGCAAGGAUAAUACCCUUGUGGAUUGACGUUACCGGCAGAAUAAGCACCGGCUAACUCCGUGCCAGCAGCCGCGGUAAUACGGAGGGUGCGAGCGUUAAUCGGAAUUACUGGGCGUAAAGCGCGCGUAGGCGGUUCGUUAAGUCCGCUGUGAAAGCCCUGGGCUUAACCUGGGAACUGCAGUGGAAACUGGCGGGCUAGAGUAUGGUAGAGGAGAGUGGAAUUUCCGGUGUAGCAGUGAAAUGCGUAGAGAUCGGAAGGAACACCAGUGGCGAAGGCGGCUCUCUGGACCAAUACUGACGCUGAGGUGCGAAAGCGUGGGGAGCAAACAGGAUUAGAAACCCGAGUAGUCC
rnacentral:rRNA from 1 species